UACGGAGGGUGCGAGCGUUGUCCGGAAUCACUGGGCGUAAAGGGCGCGUAGGCGGCGGUGGCAGUCAACGGUGAAAGCUCGGGGCUCAACCCUGAGUCGGCCGUCGAUACUCCAUCGCUCGAGCACUGUAGAGGCAGGUGGAAUUCCGGGUGUAGCGGUGGAAUGCGUAGAGAUCCGGAAGAACACCGGUGGCGAAGGCGGCCUGCUGGGCAGUAGCUGACGCUGAGGCGCGACAGCGUGGGGAGCAAAC
rnacentral:rRNA from 1 species